rnacentral:tRNA from 1 species
GGGGGGUGAGCUCCGUCGGUAGAGCAGUUGACUCUUAAGCAAUGGGGCACAGGUUCGAAGCCUGUACGACCUGCCA